UACGUAGGGGGGCUAGCGUUGUCCGGAAUCAUUGGGCGUAAAGAGCGUGUAGGCGGCCCGGUAAGUCCGCUGUGAAAGUCGGGGGGCUCAACCCUCGAAUGCCGGUGGAUACUGUCGGGCUAGAGUGCGGAAGAGGCGAGUGGAAUUCCUGGUGUAGCGGUGAAAUGCGCAGAUAUCAGGAGGAACACCAAUUGCGAAGGCAGCUCGCUGGGACGUAACUGACGCUGGAGAACGCGAAAGCGUGGGGAGCAAACAGG
rnacentral:rRNA from 1 species